rnacentral:lncRNA from 1 species
GUAGAAAUGCAACCGAGCCAUGUCGAGCGCGAGCGCUUGCGGCUCUUGGAGGAGUCGGUUGUCGUGGGUGCGCUGGUCCUCGUCGCGCUUGUUGUACCGGAGGCACCCGCGCUCGGCAUGUUCGUGCCACAGGCCCGCGCGGUCGGUCAGUCUCUCGGGUUGGACGACGCACAUGUAGGAGAUCUCUCGAUGGUCGCCCCCGGCCAGGCCAAAGGCCCGCUCGUAGACGAGACUGUGGCAACCCACGCCCUCGAAUACGGUCCUCGACGAGGCAAAGCCGUUGAAGCGCAUGCGCGGUGGCGUCGUGAUCGCCGUGCGCAGGGACAUCGCCGGAUCAUAGUUGACAUACUCGAUCAGGGCGUAGGCGUGCGGCGGGUUGCGCGACUUGGACACGUGAACCAUGAGCGGACGAGCCUGGUCUGCCUGUUCGAAUGGGAUUGUGGUCUUGAUAUCGACGGUCCAGCCCUCGGCCUCCAAGAUGGCGUCAAACACCGUUUCUGUCAAGAAGCCGCGCGGCGUCGUGUCGUCGAGCCGGGAGAUCAGUCGGAAGAGGGUCACGAUAAAGGCAUACUCGCCGAGAACGCCCUGCACGGAAAUGUCGGCCGGGUGCCUGCCCUCUGCAUACUGGAGGUCGGCGACGCCGGCCGCCACAUCCUCUGCGUAGCGCCUCAUGCCGAUGCAGCGGCACCGUUCGGCCUCUUCCAGCGACAUCUCGGCAUGGUGGCCGAGACGUAUUUCCUGCCAGAAAGCCGCCACGACCGCGUUGGCGACGACACCGCGCUGCUUGGGGUCGCCAAGCGCAAUGUUGACCCAGGUUGCAAUGUCGCAUCCGUCCCUUAUGGCCUGGAGCGCACGAUCGAUGGUUUCACGUAGGGCCAUGGCGGCAGCCGCUUGUCUCCUUGUUGAUUGUGCACGAUGCAAAAAAAUGCAUUGGCCUAUCCUCCCCCUCUUUUAUGCCAUUGUGGUGGCGUGGAGACAAGGGCGAUGGUGCCGCACAAAACUCGGCACACAAGUUUGGCGUGGCGGACAAAAGGAG